AAAGUUGCAUGGAAGUAACUUUACACCAGGUUGUUCUCACAAUGCAUCUAACAGGUUUCUGUCUGAAGUGAGGUUUUCCUCACUGACUCGAGAACCAUUUCUUUUGAGAUGGCUGUAUGCAUGCUGUGGAGGAUAUGAGCACUCUGCAUGAAUAAUUGUUCCUAAACAGCCUGCUGGAUGUAGCCUGGGAUGAUAGUGAACUCACUUCAUGUUUAUCUGCAGC
rnacentral:lncRNA from 1 species